rnacentral:lncRNA from 10 species
CAGAUAUCGGGGGAGGGGUGGAGGCUGCAGUGAGCGGAGAUCGCGCCACUGUACUCCAGCCUGUGUGACAGAACAAGACCCUGAGUUAAAAAAAAAAGAAAGAAUAUUAUGUAUUCUUGAAAUUAUAUAGAUUUUAUAGUAUGGAUAUACUAUGGUUUCUAUACCUUUCACCUGUUGGAGAGCAUCAGAGUUGUUUCCCCUUUUUGACUAUUACAGAUGAUUAUUAUGAAGGAGGCAGAGAACCUAAGGCCGAUCCACGCUGGACUUCCUAGAACUAAAUCAAAUGGAAACACUUCAGCUACGACAGGAAAUAUCCUCUUCAUUUACAUAGGGCAUACACCAAGUAACCAAUGGAAACCUCUAGAGUAUAUUUCAACCCAGAAUACUCUGUAAUGGGGCUCUUGAGCCCCUAUGCUCGACGCCCCUAUGGGGUAUACUUUCAUUUUCAAUAAAUCUCUGUGUUUGUUGCUUCAUUCUUUCCUUGCUUUGUUUGUGUGUUUUGUCCAAUUCUUUGUUCAAGACGCCAAGAACCUGGACACCUUUAACUGGUAACAUAUCUUAGUGAACCAGCCAGGAGGUAAGCCCAAAGUUUGGGAUUUAUUUUUCUCCUUUCCCCUUUCUUUUCUGCUCUAUACAAGUGAGUCUCUCUCUUUCUCUCUCUCUCUCUCUCUCUCUCUCUCUCUCUCUCUCUCUCUUUUCCUUUCCAACUUGGGACACUUGGUGGGCAGCGCCUAAACACAGAGGCAACUGCAGGCUUCUGGCCAGGGCCACUCUGAAGGACAAUUUUUUAUCUUUUCCAGUUGUGGUCCCUGAUCCCUACAUUUGGUGCAGCUCGGGCAAACUCACAUGAGUUUCAGCAAUGUGUUUGUCUGCAUACAGUUAAGCAGGGCCACUAGGGCCACUCAGGGAGAAAGAACUCAGAAGCCUGACAUGCCAGCAAAAAGGUAAGAAUUUCUUACCAGUCAGACUCUGGUCUCUGUCUCUCUCUGCAAACUGGUUAAAUAAAUGGUAAAAGUCACUGUUUAUCUCCUCUGCAAAGUUUUGAUUAAUACAGAAAAAGAAUUCUGAGGCUGGUCUUAAACUGUAGUGAAUCCGGAGUGCUUUAUGUGACUUUCUAUACUGUUCUGUUAUAAAGAGGGGCACCUUAGGAUAAAAUGCAUGCCUGGGAACCUAUAGGCUCGCUAUUCAAGGCUGCCCAGCAAACUGGUCAGUCAUGUCCUUGGGAGCUUGACCUUGUAACCAUGUGGCCAUGCUUUCUCUUUUCACAAUGGCGGCCCAGGUUUAGGUUUCAAUUCCUGGCUUAGGGAAUGAGUCCUUUAUCUUCUGCCUGUCUGUGUAUUUAUAUGUGUUGUGUGUGUAAUGUAAAAGAGCUUUAAUUGAUUGGUUUAAUAAUAAUAAGAGUGUUGUGGGAAGUCAGGGACCCUGAACGGAGGGACCAGCUGGAGCUGUGGCAGAGGAACAUAAAUUGUGAAGAUUUCAUGGACAUGUAUCACUUCCCUAAUAAUACUCUUAUAAUUUCUUACACUUGUCUUACUUUAAUCUCUUAAUCCUGUUAUCUUCGUAAGCUGAGGAUGUACAUCACCUCAGGUCCACUGUGAUGAUUGCAUUAACUGUACAAAUUGAUUGUAAAACAUGUGUGUUUGAACAAUAUGAAAUUAGUGCACCUUGAAAACGAACAGAAUAACAGUGAUUUUAGGAAACAAGGGAAGAAAACCAUAACGUCUGACUGCCUGCGGGGUCGGGCAAAAAGAGCCAUAUUUUUCUUCUUGCAGAGAGUCCUAUAAAUGGACGUGCAAGUAGGUGAGAUAUCGCUAAAUUCUUUUCCUAGCAAGGAAGAUUGAUACUAAUACUCCAGGAAGAGAAUUACAUUCCUGGGGGGAGGUCUAUAAACGGCCACUCUGGGAGUGUCUGUCUUAUAUGGUUGAGUAAGGACUGAAAUAUGCCUUGGUCUCCUGCAGUACCCUCAGGCUUAUUAGGGUUGGGAAAAAACCCCACCCUGGUAAAUUUGAGGUCAGACCAGUUCUCUGCUGUCAAACUCUGUUUUCUGUUGUUUAAGAUGUUUAUCAAGACAAUACGUGCACAGCCGAACAUAGACCCUUAUCAGGAGUUCCUGAUUUUGUCCUUGCUCUGUUUCCUCAGAAGCAUGUGAUCUUUGUUCUCCUUUGUGCCCUUUGAAGCAUGUGAUUUUUGUGACCUACUCCCUGUUCUUACACCCCCUCCCCUUUUGAAAUCCCUAAUAAAAACUUGCUGGUUUUGCGGCUCAGGUGGGCAUCAUGGUCCUACAGAUAUGUGAUUCACCCCCAGCGGCCCAGCUGUAAAAUUCCUCUCUUUGUACUCUUUCUCUUUAUUUCUCAGACCAGCCAACACUUAGGGAAAAUAGAAAGAACCUACAUUGAAAUACUGGGGGCGGGUUCCCCUGAUAUAAGAGCUUAAAUAUUUUGUCAGAAAAGUAGAAAGUGUAAUGCCUUUUUAAAAAUUUUAUUUUAUUUUUGAGAUGGAGUCUCUCUCUGUCGCCAGGCUGGAGUGCAGUGGCAUGAUCCCGGUCACUGCAACCUCUCUCUGCCUCCCAGGUUCAAGUGAUUCUCCUGUCUCAGCCUCUUGAGUAGCUGGGACUACAGGCAUGAGCCACCACGCCUGGCUAAUUUUGUAUUUUUAGUAGAGAUGAGCUUUCACCAUAUUGGUCAGGCUGGUCUUGAACUCCUGACCUCAGGUGAUCCACCCUCCUCAGCCUCCCAAAGUGCUGGGAUUACAGGCAUAAGCCACAGCACCCGGCCAUCCAAUGCCUUUUAUUUAGUUCAUGUGACUUAAGUAAUCUUUGGGAACAAAGACAGUUUUAAAGAUUAUUGGUAAAAUAAAAAUAUCUUCAAAAAUUGUAAACAUUUGGCUUAAAUUAUGCAGGUCAGAUACUAGGUUUGCUAAAUACUUUAGGUCAUAAACUGCUUCUUUGACUUUUAAAAAUUGUUCAAUUUAUUUUGGAGCAUUAGAUUCUAGAUAAGGCCUGGGGAUGUGUGAAAUUAGCCAUGCCCCCUAGCUAUGCAAAGAAGGUUAUAAAGAAAAGAUAUUUUACAUACGAAAGGAUCUUAUAUGGUAAAUUUUUGUCCUAAAGUAAAAUAAUUGGUUGUUUAAAAGAGGAAUGUUUAGGACAAAUCAGAAAGUCCAAGCAUGUCAUACAUCGUCUGUGUAUGUCAUGAAAGAAUUUAUGAAAGAGAAUUUAUGCAAGAAAUGUACUAUUUAAAGGUGAUUAGGCCACCUAAAUGCUUCAUAAAAUGACACCAUGACUCUUAAUUGUACAACCUGCCUGCUUUACAGCUAGGUAAGACCUGGGACAUGUGGAGUUAGACACUGGAAGAAGUCAGACUUUAUUUGCACUUCUGUGUGGGUCCUAGGCUCCACACCUUGUACAUAAUUAAAAUCCUAAACUUGGCCGGGCGCAGUGGCUGAUGCCUGUAAUCCCAGCACUUUGGGAGGCUGAGGCAGGUGGAUCACGAGGUCAGGAGAUUGAGACCAUCCUGGCUAACAUGAUGAAACCUCGUCUCUACUAAAAAUACAAAACAUUAGCUGGGCGUCAUGGCGGGUGCCUGUAGUCCCAGCUACUCAGGAGGCUGAGGCAGGAGAAUGGCGUGAACCUGGCAGUCAGAGCCAAGAUCAUGCCACUGCAUUCCAACCUGGGUGACAGAGCGAGACACUGUCCCAAAAAAAAAAAAAAAAUCCUAAACUUACCAAGGUUUUCACUAAAAGUAAAGUUGCAAAGAGUUAACAUUGUAACAUGUAAUCAAGACUACUGAAGAAACUGUUUUACAUGCAAGGUGUGUAAGAAGAGUAAAAUGUGUUAUUGGUAAAAGAUUAUAAGAAGGCAUGGGAAUGUGGAUUUUUUUUUUUUGCCAAGUGUUAAAGAAUUGUUUUAAGUUAAGAUAAAUCUAAAGGUUUGAACAAGUUGUGGAAGGUUUUUAAAAAAUAAAUCUUAUAAAAAAUUCUGUGUGUGAAAUAUUAAUAUAUGUUCCAAAAUUGUAUGGGAUUUCCAAAAUUCUAAUAUGUCUGAGUAUAUGCUAUCAAUCAUAAUUAUGGUUAUUAUGUUAACUGAUUGUAAACCACAGAAAUAACUAAAUUUCCUUGUAUAAAGCUACUAAUCCAAGUAGAACAAAAAAUUAAUUAAAUACUAAGAAAAUAUUUUGUCAGAUUUUCAUGUUAAACCAGCUGAUACUGAAAUUGUUUAGAUAUACAAUUUGAAUGAACUCCAUGGUCUAAGUCAAAUUACUUAUGAUAACCCAUCAGUUACCAGUGCUAUUCAAAUAAUUUGAAGAAACAACUGGUAUUCAAGAGGAUAUAAGUCUAAUGUUAAUUAAGCAUGGACUCAUGGAGAACCAGGAUGACCACCUUGUCCUUCUUGAGUCCUUCAAGGUUUUAUUAUUAAAAGUUCUGCAUUCCACAACUCAUCAUGGAAAAGAUAAAAUGAUCCAAAUUGAAUAUAUUGGUGUGGUGACUUAUACAUUGCUAAAAUAGUUUAUAACCAAUGUUUGGUCCCAUAUUUCUGGGAAAACAAUCAAAGCUUCAGGUACAUUUGGUCACCUGAUGGGCCAUUUAAACAUUUUAUAAAGGAAUUUCUUUCAAUUGUUAUUUUCUUUUUUCUUUUUUUUUUUGGGGAGUCUCUCUCUGCCACCCAGACUGGAGUGCAGUGGCAUGAUCUCAGCUCACUGCAACCUCUGCCUCCCAGGCUCAAGGGAUUCUCCUGCCUCAGCCUCCUGAGUAGCUGGGAUUACAGGCACGUGCCACCACACCCAGCUAAUUUUUGUAUUUUUAGUAGAGAUGGGGUUUCACCAUGUUGGCCAGGCUGGUCUCGAACUCCUGGCCUCAAGUGACUGGCCCACCUCAGCCUCCCAAAGUGUAGGGAUUACAGGCAUGAGCCACUGCACCCUGCCUCAAUUGUUAUUUUCAAUGCAUGUUUUCUGGUUGUAUAAAAGCUUUCCGAUGCAAGAGGGCUGAUGUUAUAACAGUAGAUUAUUAUGCUAUGGUAUAUUUUCACCAGGUAAAGAAAGCUUUUUAUGGUUUGGAUCUUCUGAGAACAUCAGAGAAAGACUGUCCUUGCCAUCCACACUACAGCAAAAUUUUGGGACCUUGAACUUUGGGUUUAUAAUCUCACAACUGAGAAGGGUCCCUCCACAUUCUUGGAACUGUAUAUCCAUUGGAAUCCUUAAGGUAAAGCUAACUAGGGAAGUUUCUCCCCAGAAUAAGAUGGCAUACUUGAUGUGAACAGCUUUUCCCAGGAUCAUGAAUCAAGACUUCUCAACUAUCAUGAGAUCCUUAUCUUUGAAUAUUUUUUUCCUUGCCUAUGCCACUACGAAUAAUAGAAGUGGAAAAGGGGUCUGUUAUGUGCACUUAUGGGGUAUACUUUUAUUUGUGAAGGAGUUUGCAGCUAGUCUUAUACAUGGAUAACCUUGUACUUUGAUAGAUAAAAGAUGGAGGCCCAAUGUAGGUGAGAAACCUUAAUGGUACAUACAUUGCCUCACAAUCAGUCAGAAACAGAACAUUGGUUCACUCCUCUUAAUGCACAUCAUAGGUUAAAGAGAACAUUGUCAGGAGGCCUUCACUCUUCUAGAAGGGCAUCAUUAGUUAGGUCCUUUUCCAUGGUUUGGAGUAAAAUAAGCAAUGAUUAGAAAUGUAUCCCUCAAGAUAGGCUCUAUAGCAAAUUCUACUGUAAAGGCUACAGUUACACAACAGACUUUAAGUUCUCUUGUGAAGGUUAUGAUCGAAUUGGCUGAACAGAGAAGUAUCUGUGAAGCUGCUGGCCCUCAUGGCCUAUGGAAAAAACAUUGGGUAUUAUAGAGAUUCAGUUGUAGCAGAUUAACGAAGACCCUGCUUAGUUAAGUGAGUAGACUCUUUACGUAGCUCAUUCUUUAAUCUAUUUAAUUUUAGGAGGUUUGGUUUAUGGGGACCCUGGGUAAGGAGCAUACUCCAAACUCUUGGUAUUAUCCUCCCAAUAGUCAUGAUAAUAGUCUCCCUGGUGCACUGUAUUCUCUCAGACAUUUUAAAUAUUUGCAUGCAGCCAUCUCUAGAAUGUCAGAUGGUCUCUCUUCAACUGGAAUGACAAGAGCUGAAAGAAAUGUGUGACCAUGAGGACACCAUAACCUAUGAAUGAUGUUCUGAGACUAGAAACCCAAAAUGAUGGUAACUGAGAGUGGUGCUAAGGCCGUAAGUUUUGGUCACGUUCUCACCUAGGUGAGAACGUGACCAAAAAGGGGUAAUUUUUUUUAAACAAAAUUAUGGGAGGCCAUUGUUUUGAACUGAGCUCAUGCACUAGGCCCCAACAGACCAAACCAAACCAAAAUGGAGUCGCUCAUGUUAAGACUUUAAGGAAACACAUAGAUCCUAGAACAGAUCACAGACCAGGUUUUGUUAUUCUCCUGCAAAUCUCUAUAACAAACAUUCCUGACAGCAAAGGUACCCAGCCCCUGAAGUUCCCAUUAAAUCUUUUAACCAAAUUCAUUUCCUCUUACUCAGAGACCAUCAAGCUUCAGAUGAUCAUGCAACAUGGGUUCCAGCCAGUUCCAAGUGAAGAGACCACCCCCGGCCAUCAAGGAACUAUCCUCCCUCCACUAAACAGAGCAGGGCUAGCGUUCCAUGAUCCCCAAUAGGUAGGGACUAUGCCCUAAGCCAGCAUAAAGUAGUUAAAGAAGAAAGACCAUCCGUUCCUCUGCCUUCUAUAAAGAUUUAUGGGGUCACAUCUCUCAGGGGAGAAAUAAGGCAGGAGAAUAUGGUCUGGAGGCAGGGAACCUAAGGCCAAUUCAUGCUGGACUUCCUAGAAGUGAAUCAAAUGGAAACACUUCAGCUAUGACAGGGAAUAUCCUCUCCAUUUACAUAGGGCAUACACCGAGUAUCCAAUGGAAACCUCUAGAGGGUAUUUAGACCCCAGGAAAUUCUGUAAUGGGGCUCUUCAACCCCUAUGCUUGGGCCACUCCCACCCUGUGUGGUGUGUACUUUUGUUUUCAAUAAAUCUCUGCUUUUGUU